GAAUGUCAUCAGGUUUAUUUUAAGCCAUCGAGCCAGUCGAGUGUGACGUCUUGUUGUUGGUCUCUCUCUCUCUCUUUCUUUCUCUCUCUCUCUCUUUCUCUCCCUCUCUCUCUGAUUAAAUAUAAUUAGAACGAUUUGACAAUUCUCGCCGUGCAAUUACUGGGAUUUUUAUCAAGAUACCACCAUCCAGCUUUCGAGUGUCCUAAGCAAAGUACACCUUCUGCUCGACUUACAACCAUCUGCACUUACGCUCACAAAAAAAAAAAUCGAUUUUCGCACGUUGGGCAGCUGCGCGUCCGAUAACUAUGGCAGUAUCUGGCAACGCAAGUCUCCCUCAGACCCAGGCAUCCACUACUUGCCUCUGUCUCUCACUCAGUUGCUUUCAAACAUCAAUUGUGUUUGAACGAAAAUAGUGUUGAAAAAUAUAAAUCUUUCAUACGACCAGAUCGACUUACGACCUGUCAGUCAGAACGAAACUCAGUCGUAAGUCGAGUAGAAGGAGUACACUAUGUUACAAGUAUCAGGUCGGAGCUCCGGUUUAAAGAUGACUUCAUUCCUUCCAUCCACCCAUCUUGAAUACCCGGAAAAGGUUGAAACGUGCUGCUUCGAUUCAUCCGACAAAAAGUUCUUCAAGACUGACUAAUGGCUGAAACAAAUAAAAGAUAAAGGAUAAAAAAUUAAAGUUCUCAAAUAUGAAUAGCUUGCUUACCAACCACAUGGUUCCGGGUUCAGUCCCACUGCGUGGCACCUUGGGAUUCAAACUGAAGUGGGACAUUUCGACAGCAAUAUGGCAUCAAAAGGGUUAAAGGUAAAUACUAAACAAAAUGACCAGUCAAAACAAGGUGAAAAACCAAGGGAAUUAGUUGUGGUCUGAGGAACCCAGAUGAACAAGACAAAAUUGUAAUAUCUUAUAUUAUACCAAAUUAUGGUAAUUCUUCAGAAUAAAAAUUUUUACAAAUUA